AAUCCAUAGGUUAAUGAGGCGAACCGGGGGAACUGAAACAUCUAAGUACCCCGAGGAAAAGAAAUCAACCGAGAUUCCCCCAGUAGCGGCGAGCGAACGGGGAGGAGCCCAGAGCCUGAAUCAGCAUGUGUGUUAGUGGAAGCGUCUGGAAAGGCGCGCGAUACAGGGUGACAGCCCCGUACACAAAAGCGCAUGUGCUGUGAGCUCGAUGAGUAGGGCGGGACACGUGGUAUCCUGUCUGAAUAUGGGGGGACCAUCCUCCAAGGCUAAAUACUCCUGACUGACCGAUAGUGAACCAGUACCGUGAGGGAAAGGCGAAAAGAACCCCGGCGAGGGGAGUGAAAAAGAACCUGAAACCGUGUACGUACAAGCAGUGGGAGCCCCACCACCAAAGCAUUUGCUGUACCGCGUUGACG
rnacentral:rRNA from 2 species